rnacentral:tRNA from 1 species
UCCCUGGAGGCCUAGGGUUUAGGCCUCGGUGCUCUCACCGCUGCGGCCUGGGUUUGAUUCCUGGCCAGGGAA